rnacentral:rRNA from 1 species
GCGGGGUGGAAAGAUUUAUCGGUGGGGGAUGGACUCGCGGCCUAUCAGCUUGUUGGUGAGGUAAUGGCUCACCAAGGCGACGACGGGUAGCCGGCCUGAGAGGGUGACCGGCCACACUGGGACUGAGACACGGCCCAGACUCCUACGGGAGGCAGCAGUGGGGAAUAUUGCACAAUGGGCGCAAGCCUGAUGCAGCGACGCCGCGUGAGGGAUGACGGCCUUCGGGUUGUAAACCUCUUUCAGUAGGGAAGAAGCGAAAGUGACGGUACCUGCAGAAGAAGCGCCGGCUAACUACGUGCCAGCAGCCGCGGUAAUACGUAGGGCGCAAGCGUUAUCCGGAUUUAUUGGGCGUAAAGAGCUCGUAGGCGGUUUGUCGCGUCUGCCGUGAAAGUCCGAGGCUCAACCUCGGAUCUGCGGUGGGUACGGGCAGACUAGAGUGAUGUAGGGGAGACUGGAAUUCCUGGUGUAGCGGUGAAAUGCGCAGAUAUCAGGAGGAACACCGAUGGCGAAGGCAGGUCUCUGGGCAUUUACUGACGCUGAGGAGCGAAAGCAUGGGGAGCGAACAGGAUUAGAUACCCUGGUAGUCCAUGCCGUAAACGUUGGGCACUAGGUGUGGGGGACAUUCCACGUUUUCCGCGCCGUAGCUAACGCAUUAAGUGCCCCGCCUGGGGAGUACGGCCGCAAGGCUAAAACUCAAAGGAAUUGACGGGGGCCCGCACAAGCGGCGGAGCAUGCGGAUUAAUUCGAUGCAACGCGAAGAACCUUACCAAGGCUUGACAUGUGCCAGACCGCCUCAGAAAUGGGGUUUCCCUUCGGGGCUGGUUCACAGGUGGUGCAUGGUUGUCGUCAGCUCGUGUCGUGAGAUGUUGGGUUAAGUCCCGCAACGAGCGCAACCCUCGUUCCAUGUUGCCAGCACGUAGUGGUGGGGACUCAUGGGAGACUGCCGGGGUCAACUCGGAGGAAGGUGGGGAUGACGUCAAAUCAUCAUGCCCCUUAUGUCUUGGGCUUCACGCAUGCUACAAUGGCCGGUACAAUGGGUUGCGAUACUGUGAGGUGGAGCUAAUCCCUAAAAGCCGGUCUCAGUUCGGAUUGGGGUCUGCAACUCGACCCCAUGAAGUCGGAGUCGCUAGUAAUCGCAGAUCAGCAACGCUGCGGUGAAUACGUUCCCGGGCCUUGUACACACCGCCCGUCAAGUCACGAAAGUUGGUAACACCCGAAGCCGAUGGCCUAACCACCU